AGCGAACGCUGGCGGCAGGCUUAACACAUGCAAGUCGAACGGGCUUCUUCGGAAGUCAGUGGCAGACGGGUGAGUAACACGUGGGAACGUGCCCUUCGGUUCGGAAUAACUCAGGGUAACUUGAGCUAAUACCGGAUACGCCCUUUUGGGGAAAGGUUUACUGCCGAAGGAUCGGCCCGCGUCUGAUUAGCUUGUUGGUGGGGUAACGGCCUACCAAGGCGACGAUCAGUAGCUGGUCUGAGAGGAUGAUCAGCCACACUGGGACUGAGACACGGCCCAGACUCCUACGGGAGGCAGCAGUGGGGAAUAUUGGACAAUGGGCGCAAGCCUGAUCCAGCCAUGCCGCGUGAGUGAUGAAGGCCUUAGGGUUGUAAAGCUCUUUUGUCCGGGACGAUAAUGACGGUACCGGAAGAAUAAGCCCCGGCUAACUUCGUG
rnacentral:rRNA from 1 species